CGUGUAAUAUUCAGCAAUUGAGUGGCAUAUCCCGGCAUACCAGAUACCGGAAAUAAAGAAAGGUAUGAGAAAGACUCGAAGCAGUGAACCUCGAGAACGAACCGAGUCCCAGAUUGGCCAGGCGGAGGUCCCACGCUGGCGUCACCACUCGAGGGACGAGGCGCCGCGCGGUCACGUGGAUAUCUGAAUUGCGCGUUAAUCACCUCAGUAAUUGAACACCGGUGUCAUUAGUUUGUGUAGUGGUCGUUAAUUGUACUUUGCAGUAGUGCAGGCAAAGGAAGCGUUAGACUCUCUAGCUUCCAUGGAGCUGACUUUGCGUGGGUACUGAGCGCUGGCAGCAGGGAGUGUGGUGCUGGAGGCCUGGUGUUCCCUGUCUGAUUUACUCCGUGGCGACGCCGGACAGCAGUAGGAGCGAGCCGAAAAAAAAUCCUAUCCCACAAACGAAAUGUCGUCUAAAACCUCCAAUAUCUCACCCUGACUUCACUCAACGUGGCGGAAUACCACUACCACCUCCUCCUCUUCCUCCUCCUCCUCCUCCUCCUCCUCCUCCUACCUUGACAUUGCCACCUCACCCCCUCGCGUGCUUUCCUCAGCCUCCGAUCAUCACAUCAUGACCUGCCGUGCCUGUCUUCCUGAACUCCUCCUCCUCCUCCUCCUCCUCCUACCUUGACAUUGCCACCUCACCCCCUCGCGUGCUUUCCUCAGCCUCCGCUCAUCACAUCAUGACCUGCCGUGCCUGUCUUCCUGAAUAGCAGCCGCGAUGUCUUCAUCUUCAACUUGCGCCUCAUUUCCUGCAAACUCGUACGUCUUCUUGAGCGGCAGGUUUGCAAGCGAGAUAAAAAGAAAAGGAAAAAAGGACAAAAGGAAAAAUAAAGAAAAAGAAAAAAACGAAGAGAGAAAACGGACAGUAGGAAGCGAACUGAAAUGCUGAAACGAUAUCGAAUGAAAAUAAAUAAAUAAAUACUACUUUUCAAAGACGGAUAUUCAAGUGCAAGAUGAACCUUGAAAUUUUCAUAUUACUAAACAAAUACUUAAAGAAUAAAAAAAAACUUUUGAUCAAUAAGGGCUUCAAUUGUAAACACCCAUUGAAAUCUUGCAAGGCCACAAAAAAAAAGGCUAAACACAAUGAAUCGGAUUAAAAUUGACGAGUCAUUGAAAAAGACAGAUAAAGAAUCACAAAAAAAAAAAAAUAAAUAAUAAUAAUAAAUAAAUAAAUAA